UUCAGGCAUGAGCCACUGCGCCCAGCCUUCUGUUUUAAUUUCUGUUUCUGAAAUCUUUGUUGUGUGAGUCACCUUGUCUAUUUCGUUACAGCAGCCUGAGCUGAUCAAUAUAGAGGGAAUCAUUGACUUCUUCAGUGGAGGAGUCACCUCUGCCAGGAAGCCUUUCUGGAUUCCAAGUAUAGGGUUAGGGCUUCCACACGCCUUGACUUCCCCCAUCAGUGCACCUGCAUCUCUCUCAGAUUAGCCUAGGAAAGUCACAAAGUUUGAUUUGUUCUUGAACACCAAAGCCCAGUCCAGAACCUGAAAGUAAUUGUUAAAUUGAUGAAUGUAGAACCGGGGCUCAGACUGGGGAAGUGACUCACUGAGACCGCAGUUUUCCUGUGCUGCCCUGACCCAGGAUGGCCUCCUUCAGCCCUGGACCCCUGAGGCUGGCUGGGUGGGAGACCUUGGCUGGAAAAGCCAGACCCCUCUCCAGCUGGGCCUGGGAUUGCUCCCAGAGAGAGCCUGGGCUCCACUCCAUGCCUGCCUGUCCCUUUCCUAAGGCCCCCUCUGUCCCUUUCCUCUUCCUCUUGAAUCCCUUACCUCCCUGCCUGGCCAGCUUCCAGGAGAUCAGCAACCGGCCUCGUGACAGGCCAGGACAAGGAGCUGAUUGUGCAUGGGGCCUUUCCAUGAGGGUGGAGGCAGCCUCAGUUUCCAGCCUUGCCCAGCCCAGAGGCUGCUACUAGCAAAUCUGGAGGACAGCAAGUGGGGACUGUGGGUUCCUGAGAUAUCCCUGGCUGGGGCUGGUCCUUCCCACCCCCUCGCCUGCCUCUUCAAAGGUCAGUGCCCUCCCUAGGGGAGCAUCCAGACAUCCAAUGAGUCCAUACGCAUCCCAAUGCCAAGCUUCCAGUGAACAGCUCUGGAGGCAGGCAGGCCUGUCCCACACCCUCAGGCUGUCUGCCCCUGGCCUCCCCAAGGACCGCAUCACUCUGAAUUUAGUCUGGGAUCGUUUGUCUGUCUCCCAUUCCAGACUGGGAGCUCUUCCAGGCCAAGGGCUGCUCUCCCUAUUUUUUUCCCUCUCUCCUCCCUUUGUAUUCUCCUCCUCCUUCCAUUCACUAAGCACCAACUAUUUGUUAGGACUGAGUUCCUCAUUCCUACACAUCCCUGACCCUGACACAGGGCUUGGCACAUGGAGGUCACUCUGCAUGCAUCAACUGACCCCCCGUCCCCUGGGCCCAAAGAUGCCAGGUCUGUGGGCUGGGCCUUGCCAAGCUUCCCUGAGGGCUGCAGCUCCAAACGUGGCAAAGGGCCCCUCUCCUUGGAAAGGGCUGAGCUCCUGCAGGAGGAAGGAAAUUUGGCCUUGAAUCUGUGCCAGGCAGCCAGGCCUGGAUGGGGUGGGGGAAAGUCCGGAGAAACAAGCACUUGGUUUUCUUAGUAGAACUGUGGUCUCAGGAGGACCUGAACCCCUGGAAGGCUGACCUGACCCAAGCUGGGAUGAGGUCGCCCUGCAAUUACCACCUCUUCCGAGGCCAACAGGACUUCUCCCUGCUGAGUCCCAAAACCUGCUGCCCCACCCCCCCAUGCCCAGCCUCGGUGCCUCGGCCACACUCUUGCACUCUUGCGUCCCUCCUUGGUUGUCCAGAGACAGCCAGGCUGUGCCGGGCAUCCCAGCCAAAUGUGAGCUCUCUGGCCAGGCUGAGUAGUGCAGGAGCUGAGUUACUGCGUCGCUGGAGCCCCAGGCCUGCAGAAACCACCACGAAGGAACCCUUCCGAGUCUUAUAAAUCCCUCUUCCAGACUCUGCAUGGGCUCUGUCCCGAGCAACUUUUCCCCCAAUAAUGCAUGCAGAGCUUCCAGUGGCCUGGGCAGCUCUCCGGUGGCAGCCACUGGGGCCCUGUCACACGGGGAGUGCUUUCAGCAUGAGCCCUGGCCUUUAAUUACAAGCCUGGCUGGAAACAUUAGAAGGGACUGAGGCAGCGAGAUGUCUAAAAUAGGAAGACGCCGGGACGGUUGGCCUGGCUGCCCGUGAUGCUGGCUGCGGGGAUCUGGCCCGGCUGUGCAGAUGGAAAAGCUAAGAGUCAAUGAGUCGCCAGCAACUCUGUGCCGUUCCUGGUUCACAUCUGGCUCAGCCCACAAGGCCCCAUCCAGCUGGAAGCUCCCGAGGGCCCUGGGCCUUGGCAAAGGCCCCAGCUUUCUUCUCACUCUCCUGGCCUGGGUCCCGGUCUGACGAUUCACACUUCCUCCUUGCCUGAGUUCCCACGAAAAGUGGCCUCCACCGCCAGCCCCCUGCCCAGGACCAGGUUACAAAAUGCAGAGACAAUGGAGGCUCCAAGCCAAAUUUCCAAUGGGCCUGCCAUUAAAUCACCAACAGCAUCUGUGUGUACAUCUGGGACAGAUGCCGGCAGCUGAGGCCACAGGACGCAUGGCUUUGUCACAUUGGGUCAGCAUUGGUGACCUUGGUGGGAGUGUUGGGGGUGGAGCUCAGACCUAAAGUUAGGACACUUGAGUCUGAAUUGCUGCCCUUUCUAGCUGCCUCAGUUUUCUUGUCUGUAAAAUGGGGAUAAUAAUGCUUAUCACACAGGGUGUGCGAUCAAGGAGAGUGAUUCACACACACAAGGAUAUCUAGCAGCAAACAGGACUCUGGCUCUGAUCAUCACUUACCUUUCUUGAGGCUGGUGGCAGCAGGACCUGUGAUCAGAACACUGUUUGUAGGUUUCUUCUCCUAGAAUCACCAACCAGGCCCAAGCAACUUUAUUCAGAGAGGAGGACAGUCAUCCAGCCCAGACAGCAUCUGCCUGGUGAAAAUGGCUCCAACUCAACCACCCAAGUGGAUGCAGCAGAGUUGUCAAAUGAAGCUAAGGGUGAGAAUGACUGAACAGGGAUAAUAUAAAGGCCAGAGGGCCAUGCUCUGGCCAGGGAGUUGGAAAGUCUGAGGCUUCCUGGCUUCUCAAUGUUGGCCCCUCCACCCUUCCUCUCUGCCUGAACCUUCUGCAGACACCCACUGAGCAGUCACUGCUGCCAGCCAAGACCCUCUCUCUGCCUCAAGGUUCCCCUGGAGACUUUCUUGUGGCACCUCUCAGCACCUCUUGCAAUUUGUAGCAUUUACUUACAGACAGGAUUACAGGUUUACCCUCUAUCUCCCCCUCCAGACUGCAAAUGCCUCCAGGGCAGAAACCUCUUAGUUUACAGAUAACAGCAACCAGAAGUGAUCUACCAGCAGGUAGCUCAUGCCUGUAAUCCUAGCACUUUGGGAGGCCAAGGUGGGAGGAUCACUUGAGGCCAGGAAU
rnacentral:lncRNA from 1 species